GCUCUGCACUCUGAGUCAACCCCAGCUGCAGGCCUGGAUGAGCAGUUUAACAAUCUUUGCUUUUUUUUUUUUAUGGUCAGAAUCAGAAGUAUCAUGUUUCUAGAGCCUGGGGGCUAUUGUGGUAUUUAAACGGGGCAAGCGGCUGGCAUUCCUCCAAUCCUUACCUGCAGCUGUGUUUCUGGUCAGCACCUACGCUGAAAGCACUGGCAUACAUGAUUGGGAUUCAGAGAAACAAUAGCCAAGGGAUCAGGGAAGGACAGCAUGCAAAUCAUUCUACUCUGCAAAGAAGGGGUCUGUAUUCAUGAAACAGUCCCUCUAACCUACAGGGUCUAAAGCCUCACUGUAUUA
rnacentral:lncRNA from 1 species